GCACCGGUGGCCCAGCGGUUAGAGCAUCUGCCUCGGAUGUUGUAGGUCGCGGGUUUGAACCCCGGCCGAGUCA